ACGGAGGGUGCGAGCGUUGUUCGAAAUUACUGGGCUUAAAGCGCGUGUAGGCGGGAAGGCAAGUGUCGGGUGAAAUCCCUCGGCUCAACCGAGGAACCGUCCGGCAAACUGCUUUUCUUGAGGCAGGGAGAGGUGACUGGAACGACGGGUGGAGCGGUGAAAUGCGUAGAUAUCCGUUGGAACGCCGGAGGCGAAAGCGGGUCGCUGGCCCUGUCCUGACGCUGAGACGCGAAAGCGUGGGGAGCGAACAGGAUUAGAUACCCUGGUAGUCCACGCCGUAAACGAUGCGCACUAGGUAUGGGGGGCUCUCACGCCAACCGUGCCGUAGAAAAAUUGAUAAGUGCGCCGCCUGGGGAGUACGGCCGCAAGGCUA
rnacentral:rRNA from 1 species